AGAUUGAACGCUGGCGGCAUGCCUUACACAUGCAAGUCGAACGGCAGCACGGGGGCAACCCUGGUGGCGAGUGGCGAACGGGUGAGUAAUGCAUCGGAACGUGCCCAGUAGUGGGGGAUAACUAGUCGAAAGAUUAGCUAAUACCGCAUACGACCUAUGGGUGAAAGCGGGGGAUUCGCAAGAACCUCGCGCUAUCGGAGCGGCCGAUGUCUGAUUAGCGUAGUUGGCGGGGUAAAAGCCCACCAACGGCUUCGGAUCAGUAGCUGGUCUGAGAGGACGACCAGCCACACUGGGACUGAGACACGGCCCAGACUCCUACGGGAGGCAGCAGUGGGGAAUUUUGGACAAUGGGCGCAAGCCUGAUCCAGCCAAUGCCGCGUGCGGGAAGAAGGCCUUCGGUGUAAACCGCUUUGGCAGGACGAACGGCGCGAGCAAAUAUCUCGCGUUAAUGACGGUACCUGCAGAAUAAGCACCGGCUAACUACGUGCCAGCAGACCCG
rnacentral:rRNA from 1 species